rnacentral:lncRNA from 1 species
AGGAAUGAAGGUUAGGGAUUAGAAGUAUUGAAAAGUUUAACAUAGAGUUACUGGCAAAAUGGAAAUGGAAAAUGAAUCAAAAUAUGGGGAAGUAGAGCUAAGGAUGAGUCAUAUGGUGGUGGAGAGAUAUACGUAAUGUUUGUGGAGAAGGCUAACUAACAGGGUAAUUGGUUCAAUAACAAUGCAAUUUGGAAAUCAGAUAAAAUUUUAGGAAGAUAAAUUGUUAUAUGAAAUAUCAGAUAAUGAUAGAUUUCCUAAAUUGUAUGCCAUAUCAAAUUGUAAGAACAAAAGCAUAGGACAACUGGGUGGAUGUAAUGAUGGGAACUGAAUUGAAGGUAUAUGAAAUAAAUCAGGAGGUAGUCCUAAUGCAAAUGAUAACUAACCAAAAUUUUAAAAGAGAUAAAGAGGAUACUUGGUAUUGAAGGUAGAAGUGGUAGGAGAUUUCAAAGUAAGUUCUGCAUACAACUUACUGUAGAAGAAUUUAAAGACCUAUUUGUUGAUUUACUAAAUCUAAAAUAUAUUCAGGUUCUAUUUGAAGAUUCUUAAUGAACAAGCUCUGCUAGGUGAUAAUUGGAUGAUAAUUGAAGAUUUAUAACAAAUUUUCUACUAAAUAGGUAACUGAUCAAAUGUCU